rnacentral:miRNA from 1 species
CGAGGUGGGAUCCUGAAGCCUCUCCAGUCCGCCAAGGACGCACCACAGGCCUGUCUCACCCACCGCGCUGGG